GAGACUCUGUGCGCGUGCAUAUCAAUAAGCGGAGGAAAAGAAACUAACAAGGAUUCCCCUAGUAACGGCGAGUGAAGCGGGAAGAGCUCAAAUUUGAAAUCUUAAAGGGUUUCCCUUUACGAAUUGUAGUUUAAAGAAGUGUUUUCUGUUGGAGUUUCGGUAAAAGUUCUUUGGAAUAGGACAUCAUAGAGGGUGAGAAUCCCGUAUUUGACCGUUACUUUCCAGCUGUGUGAUACACUUUCAAAGAGUCGGAUUGUUUGGGAAUGCAGUCCAAAAUGGGUGGUAAAUUUCAUCUAAAGCUAAAUAUUGGCGAGAGACCGAUAGCGAACAAGUACCGUGGGGGAAAGAUGAAAAGAACUUUGAAAAGAGAGUUAAACAGUACGUGAAAUUGUCAAAAGGGAAGCGUUUGACACCAGUGUUGUUUAGUUGAAAAUCAAUUCAAUAGUUUUUGAUUCUAAGUAGUAUUGACUUCAUCAGCUUGCUGCUUUCUUCUCAGAAAUUAUUGAAUGCACUUUUCAGUUAACAAGUCAACAUCAAUUUCUUUUGUUGUAAAAGGGUAAGAGGAAGGUGGCUUGCGCUUCGGCUCAAGUGUUUAUAGCCUUUUAUCUCUGCAAUCGGAGAGAUUGAGGUCUGCAGCGUAGAUCCUUCGGGGUUAGAUACAUUGGUGCUAAGCUAUAGCCUUGUAUAGACAACUUGUUGACUAUGCUCAGUCAUGUAGCUUACUCGCUGAUGCUAUUUUACCUACGCUUAGGAUGUUGAAGAUGUAGCACAUCAU
rnacentral:rRNA from 1 species